GACGAACGCUGGCGGCGUGCUUAACACAUGCAAGUCGAACGGUAAGGCCCUGCUUGCAGGGUACUCGAGUGGCGAACGGGUGAGUAACACGUGGGUGAUCUGCCCUGCACUUCGGGAUAAGCCUGGGAAACUGGGUCUAAUACCGGAUAGGAGCCAUUUUUAGUGUGAUGGUUGGAAAGUUUUUUCGGUGUAGGAUGAGCUCGCGGCCUAUCAGCUUGUUGGUGGGGUAAUGGCCUACCAAGGCGGCGACGGGUAGCCGGCCUGAGAGGGUGGACGGCCACAUUGGGACUGAGAUACGGCCCAGACUCCUACGGGAGGCAGCAGUGGGGAAUAUUGCACAAUGGGCGCAAGCCUGAUGCAGCGACGCCGCGUGGGGGAUGACGGCCUUCGGGUUGUAAACUCCUUUCGCCAGGGACGAAGCUUUUUGUGACGGUACCUAGAUAAGAAGCACCGGCUAACUACGUG
rnacentral:rRNA from 1 species